GUGCAGGAUUUGAGAUUCUAUUCUCCCUGUACCUUGUCUGCAGCUGCAAAUAAACUUUUCUGCUUCUCCACCCCGUUGUGAUUAUUGAGUGAAACACACCGGGUAACGAACCUCUGCUGUUGUUUUGCCUCUCGGCACUGGGUGCCAGCAACAGCUUUUGGCGUCCCUGGGUGGGCGAUGAGGCUGCAAUUUAGCCUUGCCCGGAUCCCUUCCGGCGGUCGAGGAUUGCAGCAACCACCGACGCCCAGCGCGCACCGGUGAGUUCAUCGGGGGCCUCGGAGGAGACGCAGUUUGAUCGACCUCGGAGGGCACAACAGUGCAACGCACUCACAUAGUGGAGAAGCAGCUGCAGGCGAUGGUGGGGAACCGGUCCCUUGGAUAAGGUAUACUAAGGAUUCCCAGUCUCUACCCUUGGAUUCGCCCAUCCACUUCCUGCAGCCUGGUGAUUCAGUGCUCGUAUGUACCUGGAAAGACGAACCCCUCCAGGAAAAGUGGAAGGGACCCUAUACCAUCCUGCUGGUCUCCCACACGGCAGCAAAGGUCGAGGGACACAAGAAUUGGAUUCAUUAUACCUGGCUGAAAGCGGUGUCAACCCCCCCCCCCCCCGGCUGAAAGGUGGACUGUGCUUUCAGCCCCCUCCACUGAGGAUCUUGGACUAAAAUUACUAUUUAAACAGCAGCCCACUGGGAAGGCAGGAAAAUAGAUGGGAAAGUAUAUUUUAUUCCCCCUCUUGGCCAUGUGCCUAACUGGUACUGCUGUUUCAGGCACUGUACCCGUAAAUACCUGGCUGGCACUGGCCCAGAGUGCAGUGAACGCAACGUCGUUCUCAGAGAACCUUAUUCUCAGAGACUGAGGCAGCAGCUCUGGCCUUUUCCUUAGUUGGUAUUCCUGGGCUUGUGGUGCAUAAUUAUCACGCAGUAGAGCACCUUGCCUGCACGGUGGCAAAGGCCAUUAAUUUAACCUCAACCGUCCUGGCCCAACUCUCACAUGAGUUAGGGGAAGUACGUCAGGGUAUGCUACAAAACAGGCUGGCUGUGGACUAUUUGCUUCUACGCCAUGGUCACCUAUGCCAGGAGUUUGCAGGCAUGUGUUGCUUUAAUAUAACAGAUGCAGGGCCAUCCGUAGAAGCUGAUUUACAACGCCUAAAGCAGCUGGUAAAGGGCAUUCAUCAGCAAACUGGGGAGGAUUGGCUAGGCUCUCUAUUUUCUGGUUGGGGCCUUUCCCCGUGGCGAAGUGGGUUGUUUAGCCUAUUAUUUAAGUUUUUUUUCCCUGUAUUAAUCAUGUUAUGUUUACUGUGUUGUAUGUGGUCCUGUGUAAAAAUACUUAUUUUGCAUAGUUUUGAAAAUUUUAAUUUUAUGGAUAGCCCGCUAGUAAGUAAAUAAAGAUGAGAAGACUCAAGCAAUAGAAAUGAGUAUUCUCAAAGGAGGGAAUUGUUGGAGACCCCAGGGUAUGGCCAUUAGUUCAGUUGAGCGGAUGGAAGGCCAUAAGGGUCGAGGAAGUCUACCUGCUGAAGGCCUAAGGGCUUCUUCUCAACCCCCCUUAAUAGAAUUCAGGCCUGGCUGGUUUGAGUAAGCUCUUUUGCUCUUAAAACAAUGUUGCAGCCGCAGAUAAUGUCUCAUAGCGUAAGGUUUGCUGACGCCAAGUUAAAAUAGUAGGAGAUAGUUACAAGGCCAGACAGAAUGUGCUGGUUGUUUAAGUUGCUAGGAAUGCUUGUUAGAGGUUGCAGGAAAUAAACAUUGUUGUAACCCAUAUAAGGAAGGCAGAGUAUUUGUGUAAAGUUUUGAUUGGCUAAUGUGUAGUGCAAUAGCAUUAAGGAAUAUAAAAGUGUGUGUAAUGACCUGCUCUGAUGUGCAGGAUUUGAGAUUCUAUUCUCCCUGUACCUUGUUUGCAGCUGCAAAUAAACUUUUCUGCUUCUCCA